rnacentral:rRNA from 1 species
UACAAUGGGUAGUACAGAGGGUUGCCAAGCCGUAAGGUGGAGCUAAUCCCUUAAAGCUACUCUCAGUUCGGAUUGUAGGCUGAAACUCGCCUACAUGAAGCUGGAGUUACUAGUAAUCGCAGAUCAGAAUGCUGCGGUGAAUGCGUUCCCGGGUCUUGUACACACCGCCCGUCACACCACGGGAGUUGGAGACGCCCGAAGCCGAUUAUCUAACCUUUUGGAAGAAGUCGUCGAAGGUGGAAUCAAUAACUGGGGUGAAGUCGUAACAAGGUAGCCGUAUCGGAAGGUGCGGCUGGAUCACCUCCUUUCUAAGGAGA